rnacentral:rRNA from 1 species
UACGGAGGGUGCGAGCGUUGUCCGGAAUCAUUGGGCGUAAAGGGCGCGUAGGUGGCCUGCUAAGCGUGCGGUGAAAGUCGGGGGCUCAACCCCCGAUCGGCCGUGCGAACUGGGAGGCUUGAGCACUGUAGAGGCAGGCGGAAUUCCGGGUGUAGCGGUGGAAUGCGUAGAGAUCCGGAAGAACACCGGUGGCGAAGGCGGUCUGCUGGGCAGUUGCUGACGCUGAUGCGCGACAGCGUGGGGAGCAAACAGG